rnacentral:piRNA from 3 species
GAUUUUUGGAACUAGGAGUUGGAAU